GACGAACGCUGGCGGCGUGCUUAACACAUGCAAGUCGAACGGAAAGGCCCUGCUUUUGUGGGGUGCUCGAGUGGCGAACGGAUGAGUAACACGUGAGUAACCUGCCCUUGACUUUGGGAUAACUUCAGGAAACUGGGGCUAAUACCGGAUAGGAGCUCCUGCGGCAGGGUGGGGGUUGGAAAGUUUCGGCGGUUGGGGAUGGACUCGCGGCUUAUCAGCUUGUUGGUGGGGUAGUGGCUUACCAAGGCUUUGACGGGUAGCCGGCCUGAGAGGGUGACCGGCCACAAUGGGACUGAGAUACGGCCCAGACUCCUACGGGAGGCAGCAGUGGGGAAUAUUGCACAAUGGGCGGAAGCCUGAUGCAGCAACGCCGCGUGCGGGAUGACGGCCUUCGGGUUGUGAACCGCUUUCGCCUGUGACGAAGCGUGAGUGACGGUAAUGGGUAAAGAAGCACCGGCUAACUACGUG
rnacentral:rRNA from 1 species